UACGAAGGGGGCUAGCGUUGCUCGGAAUUACUGGGCGUAAAGCGUGCGCAGGCGGUUCGUUGUGUCGGUGGUGAAAUCCCCGGGCUUAACCUGGGAAUGGCCAUGGAAACUGGCGAGCUGGAGUGCGGCAGAGGGGGGUGGAAUUCCGCGUGUAGCAGUGAAAUGCGUAGAGAUGCGGAGGAACACCGAUGGCGAAGGCAGCCCCCUGGGCUAGCACUGACGCUCAGGCACGAAAGCGUGGGGAGCAAACAGG
rnacentral:rRNA from 1 species